GGGUUGUGAGGUUAAGCGACUAAGCGUACACGGUGGAUGCCCUGGCAGUCAGAGGCGAUGAAGGACGUGCUAAUCUGCGAUAAGCGUCGGUAAGGUGAUAUGAACCGUUAUAACCGGCGAUUUCCGAAUGGGGAAACCCAGUGUGUUUCGACACACUAUCAUUAACUGAAUCCAUAGGUUAAUGAGGCGAACCGGGGGAACUGAAACAUCUAAGUACCCCGAGGAAAAGAAAUCAACCGAGAUUCCCCCAGUAGCGGCGAGCGAACGGGGAGCAGCCCAGAGCCUGAAUCAGUGUGUGUGUUAGUGGAAGCGUCUGGAAAGGCGCGCGAUACAGGGUGACAGCCCCGUACACAAAAAUGCACAUGCUGUGAGCUCGAUGAGUAGGGCGGGACACGUGGUAUCCUGUCUGAAUAUGGGGGGACCAUCCUCCAAGGCUAAAUACUCCUGACUGACCGAUAGUGAACCAGUACCGUGAGGGAAAGGCGAAAAGAACCCCGGCGAGGGGAGUGAAAAAGAACCUGAAACCGUGUACGUACAAGCAGUGGGAGCACGCUUAGGCGUGUGACUGCGUACCUUUUGUAUAAUGGGUCAGCGACUUAUAUUCUGUAGCAAGGUUAACCGAAUAGGGGAGCCGAAGGGAAACCGAGUCUUAACUGGGCGUUAAGUUGCAGGGUAUAGACCCGAAACCCGGUGAUCUAGCCAUGGGCAGGUUGAAGGUUGGGUAACACUAACUGGAGGACCGAACCGACUAAUGUUGAAAAAUUAGCGGAUGACUUGUGGCUGGGGGUGAAAGGCCAAUCAAACCGGGAGAUAGCUGGUUCUCCCCGAAAGCUAUUUAGGUAGCGCCUCGUGAAUUCAUCUCCGGGGGUAGAGCACUGUUUCGGCAAGGGGGUCAUCCCGACUUACCAACCCGAUGCAAACUGCGAAUACCGGAGAAU
rnacentral:rRNA from 1 species